UACGAGUGCUCCAAGCGUUAUCCGGAAUCACUGGGCGUAAAGGGUCCGUAGGCGGUCUUGUUAGUCUUUUGUUAAAGCCCGGAGCUCAACUCCGGAAAGGUGAAAGAAACGGCAAGACUAGAGGAUGCGAGAGGUUGUUGGAACUCAUAGUGUAGGGGUGAAAUCCGUUGAUCUUAUGGGGAACACCAAAAGCGAAGGCAAACAACUGGCGCAUUCCUGACGCUGAGGGACGAAAGCGUGGGUCGCGAAUGGG
rnacentral:misc_RNA from 1 species